rnacentral:rRNA from 1 species
CAAUAGCGUAUAUUAAAGUUGUUGCGGUUAAAAAGCUCGUAGUUGGAUUUCUGCUUGGGACAACCGGUCCGCCCACUGGGUGAGUAUCUGGCUUGGCCCGGGCAUCUUCUUGGGGAACGUUACUGCACUUGACUGUGUGGUGCGGAGCCCAGGACCUUUACUUUGAGGAAAUUAGAGUGGUUACGGCAAGCUAUCGCUUUGAAUACAUUAGCAUGGAAUAAUAAUAUAGGGCGUAAGUUCUAUCUUGUUGGUUUCUAGAACAUACGCAAUGAUUAAUAGGGACAAUUGGGGGCGAUUCGUAUUAACGCGUCAGAGGUGGAAUUCUUAGAUUGCGUUACGACGAACUACUGCGAAAGCAUUUGCCAAGGAUGUUUUCAUUGAUCAAGAACGAAAGUAUGGGGAGUCGAAGACGAUUAGAUACCGU